GCCUCCCGGACCUCCCCGGGGCCGCAACUGGAGCCGCACUUGGGGCCAGAGGUGGAAGUAGAGGUCAGCGGAGAGCAGCACCCCGAGUAGCAGCAGGGUCAGAAGCCGGUCCCGGCGGAGCCCCAGCAUGGCGGAACAGUUCAAAUGGGCAACUUCAUAAGAACUUGAUACCUGACCUAUCACAAAAUGUUGAAGAAGUUGAAGAGGAGCAGAGCAAAUACCACUGGGAGGCUACCUGAUGCCAAGAACAUAGGUGACCAAAUAAUCAUAUGGAGAUUGAUGUUUCUAUCUUUGGAGACAAUUUCAUGAGCUUGAGAAUUCAAGAGUUCCUGACUUAGUUGGAGCUGAAUGGGAUCAGGAAGAGAUUUCUGCAAUUGUACCCUUCCAGAGGAAAAUGACCAUAAAGGGAUGAUGAGCCCAAGGCUUGACUGACCAGAAGACAAGCUUCAAGGAAAUGUUGGAAUAGAGCAAAGUCAAGGUGAAAGUAAAACAUCUUUUCCAUUGUCACUCUAAGUGUUUUAUGAUUAGUGUUUUAAGUAUCAGCCUACUGGGAAUAUAAGAUAGAAGUUGUUGGUUAGUAUAUCAUACUUUUAAGCCUCUGUCAGUUUAUGCUUAGGGAUCUUUAGUUUUCAUUUAUGAAACAAAUAAAUAUUUAUCUCAUAGUGAAGAAAAUAAAAUAACUCUUUUCUACCUGAUCUACAAUGUACCUUGAGCAUAUUCCUAUUCCCUUUUGGGGAGACUAUAGAUAUGAGCCAUACCUAAGCCUUUUUUUUUUUCCUUUGGGCUCUGGUGUGAAGGCCUAAAAGGCCAGAGAUUAAACCUGAUUAUAUAGGGACCCAGAGCUGAGUAGUCUCCUUAGUGACAGAGGGUAGGCAUCCAAAGCUGGUGAAUUGUAACAUAAGCAUUUAAAAAUUCUUUCAGUUUUAAGCUCUGAAAAAAAAUUUGUACAUUUUUAAAACCUUCCAAGCCAUAGGACUGUUUCCUAUUAUCUCUUAUGAGUCUUGUCUUCCUUCCUUCCCUUCUCUCUCCUCUUCUUACCACUAUGCACUUAGCUUGUGGCUGUUGCCACACUACCACACUUUUGGCAUGGUCUUGCACAAGGACUACGACAUGAACUGAAUCUUGGGUCACAUUCUGGGUAUUGUGCUCCAUUUCCCUUUAGCUAAUUUUAACAGCAGAAAAUGCUGCAUCAUUUAAGGUGAGGUAUAUUGGAGGCCAAAUCUCUAUCAGUCAGGAACUUCGUUACAGCUAAGGAAAGGGCAUCUGUAGCUUUCUCCUUGUGGCAGUUUUUUAGGAGAUCAGACUCUCAGACACUGGACAAAAUUGGAAUCAGCAUUAUAGAAUAAAUCUCAGAGGCAAUUAAUACAAUUAAGAGAGGUGGUUUUGAAUCUUGGCUCUGACCAUAAUAAUAUAGCAUAUUAAUUUAUAAUUAUAACUUAGUAUAUAUAAAAUAAUAAUUAAUUUAAUUAAUAUAUAAUAAUAUGAUAAUAGAGCUUUUAUAUAAGUGCUUUCUGGUUUGAAAAAUACUUUAUAUUUAUUAUCUCAUUUUAUCUUCCCAACAGUCUUGCAAAUUAGGCCAUACCAUUACUUAUUUUGCACACUUGCUAUUAUUACUCAUAUUCUUCAUUUCAUAAAUAAGGAAAUAGAGAUUAAAAGAGAAUAAAUGAUUUAGGCAAGCAUCUGAGGUAAGAAUUGAACUCAGGUCUUCCUGUAUUCAUAUUCAAUAUUCUAUACACUGAGCUGCCUGGUGGUGCAGUGGAUAGAGUGCCUGCUCUGGAGUUAGGAGGAUCUGAGCUCAAAUAUGAUCUUAGAUAAUUAGUGACUGUAUGAUGCUAGGUAAAUAAUUUAAUCAUGUUUCCCUCAGUUUCUUCUUUUGUAAAAUGAACUGGUGAAGGAAAUGAUUAGUCAUUCCAGUGUCUUUGCCAAGAAAACCCAAAAUUGGGUCCCAGAGACAGAUGCAGCUGAAAUGUCUGAAAAACAGUAAGCUGGGCUUCUUUGUGGUCAAGGCAAAAUUCAGGUUAAAAAAACCCAAACAUUCUAUAUACACAAUGAUUCCUAGCUAUAUGUUUUUGCUCAUGAUUGGGUCUAAAGGAACUUCCUCUUUAUAUAUUUUAUAUAUAUACACAGUAUAUAUACAUUAUAUAUACUAUACUUUCCUCUUAGAGAAAGAACUUCUGAUAGAAUAAUCUUAAAAUUUUUGAGCUAUAAAGUACCUUGCAAGGCCAUUGUUUUUACCAAUUGGUAUUCACUAAUCUGUUGUCAGAGGGCCACCCUCUCUGGUAGACUCUUUAUGUCUUCUGAGAAAGGAGAUUUUACAGUGUCCCUUUGACACUUUGAAAUCCCACCAUCAAAGAAUUCUUCACUGGUGAACCUCGAUGAAAUCUGGAUCUCUGAUAAGGUAAGUUGUAGAUCAAAUUUCUGGUCUUGAUAUAUCUCCAUCUCUCCCAUGAGCUAGGUUUGAAAUAGAAGACAAAAGAGGGAAUUUUUUUUGUCAUUAACCAAUUAUCAAUCAUCAUAUGUUGAUGACAUGUUUAGGGUACUCUGCUCAAUUUUGAAUAAAGAGAGAUUCAUUGAAUUUUAGAGCUUGGAAGGGACUUCAGAAAUCAUCUAUUCCAAAAUGGUCUCUGUCUUCAAGGUGUUUACAUGAAAUAUUUAUAAAAUCUUACAAGACAAUAUUUAUGUAAAGGGUUGAUUAUAUGGAUUAUGAUUGUAUAAUAUAUAACAUAUAGGAUUAUUAUUACAUGUAAUUUAUAAUAUGGAUAUUUUAUGUGAUGAUCACAUGUAUAAUAUAUGUUUAUAUUAUAUAUAAUGUUCUAUAAUGAUCAUAGGAGUUUCUAAUCAACUUGGUGAGCUUAUAGGGUAGGCAGUCUAUAUUUAGGACUUUGAUUGCCUAACCUUUUGCAAGAUGAGACAUAUUCUUUUGACCCAGUUAUAAUCAUUAGAUACUGAUAGGGAAUGAAUCAUUUGGCUAUACUAUUGUGGGACAAAAUGUUCAAGAAAGACCUAUCACUUUCUGGGACUAUAAAUUUAUUUGAAAUGAACCUUAGAUAUAGAGGCUGGACAUACAUUUGAAUCCUAGAUCUACCACUUAUAACCUGUGUGAUUUCUAUAAAUGUACAUCAUAGCUAUGUUAAUAACAUCAAUACUUGUUAUAAUGAUUAUCUAUAAUCAUUAGUAAUUAUCCCUUGGUCUUACACAUAUGAAAUCUACAUUAAUAUAUUCUGUAAGGCUGCUUCAGACUAAAUAUAUUAAUUGCACAAAGGGCAUAAUACAUACAUACUUUAUAAUAGUACAUGUAUAUUCAUACUACAUAAGCAAAUAAUCACAAAUAGCAAGGAAAAAACCACCAGCAUAACUUGCAACAACAAUAUCAAUAGGCUUACACAGUAACAAUGUUUUUGUUCAUUUUUUUUUCAAUUGUAUUAGACUCUUUGUGACCCCAUUGGAUUUUUCUUGACAAAGAUAGUGGAGUGGUUUGUCAUUUGCUUCUCCAGCUCAUUUUCUGGACAAAGAACUUGAGGAAAAUAGGAUUAAGUGACUUUUCCAGGACCACAUAGCUAGUAAGUGUUUGAGGCCAGAUUUGAACUCUAGCAUUAUCCACUGUGCCUCCCAGCUGUCCUAUAAUAACAAAAAUGCCCAAUAACUAGCAUAUUUAUAAGUAGCUACAACAUACAUAUUCAACAGACAGAUGUAGCUGGUUAACCAUGCAAGAAAUUAAUAAUAAUUAACAUAUCAUCAGCAUAUGCAGUUACCUGCAAAGUGUACAUUAAAAUGGCAAAGCAUUGGCAUUGUCCACGUAUACCUACUUUUCCUAUUUCUCUUGCAACAUUAUAAAGUAACCUUAUGACAGGUUAGGUGGUUCUAGUUCUUUUGUGAUAUAUUGACUUUCCUGAAUCUCUUCCUGAGUUGGUUGGAUAUCAUUAUGAUUAGAUCUUAUAAACUUAUAGUGCUAAACUUGACUUUUUUGUUCUGAGGCCACCAGGAAGCUAUUUCAAUGACUUAAGCUAACACCAACAACUUCUUUAAGGUCACACUUAUGUGUCCUAAGUCUUUGUCACGUGGUCCUGCAAAUCCUAGCCCUUUUUUUAGACUGGAAAAGAGUUUCUCUGGAAUGUCUCUCUUAACAUAAUUAGAUUCUGAUGGUUACUUGAGAUUCACUAUUCAGUCUAGUAGUGCAUUCCACAUUCUCAAUUUUCACCAAUACUUUUGUGUAGGAUUCUGUGAGUCUAAAUGAGAUAAAUCCAUAAGGAAUUGUCAUAGUCCUCUCAAGUGUAUCUGACAUAAUGGUUAUCUAGUCCACAUUUUUAACAGAAAAGAAAUAGUUCUGUCUCUCUGGUUAUAUCCUGAUAGUGGUUUUCUUGUUUCAAACUGUUGUGACCUCUUUUCCCUUAGUCCUUUUUUUUCCCAGGUGAAAUGGUUCUGGUAGUGGCUCCAUCUCUCACCAGGAUUCUAUGACUCAUACCCAUGAAGGUGUUUUGGAGGUAGUUAAAGUUGAAGUUUCCUGAGGUGUUCUACCUUAUGUAUGCAGCCCAUUGGUCAAACACUUUCCCUUUCUCUAGCAACUACCCACAAAUCAAAUGUUUACUGUUUGAUAUGGCAUUUGUUAACUGUCCCUUUAGCUGAAAUCAUCAUCAUAGUCUUCUACCAAUUUAGGCAAUUUUGAUAAUGUUUGCUUUCUUGGGUUGAACCAUUGCUUUCUCUUCCAGUUCAAAUAAUAGGCUUUUUAACUGCAUUCACAACUUCCAGUGGAUGGUUUUUCCUUCAUGCUUAAUGAUUUUGCUGAAUUUAGCACAAAUGUCACUUCACCAUUUAGAGAAGGCCCCCUGUGCCUUCAGUUUUCACAAACACUCCUGAUUUGUGGUUUUAGGUUUUUCUGCCUUUAGAGAUCACAUACAUUCAAAAGUGCAUUAUCUGAUACUUUCUACCAAAUUAUAUUUUAUCUAGCUCAGAUGCCUAGGCCUUUAGAAACUCUGUUACACACCCAGUCCAAACAGCUACUGGUUCUUCUUCAAGAGGACUCUUUCUAACACCUGAAUUAUCUAAAUCUGGCCCCAUUUAAAGUUUUAAAUGCAAAUAAAAUCAAACCAAAACAAAAAUGAUGUGCAGUUACUUUCUCCAUAAUGCUCAGAUAGAAGGCUCCAAAUAUCUGAAUCUUUUCAUGAUGUUACAAGUGUUCAAUUUUUUAUGGUUUGGACCUGAAUAUUUUAAUUGGUGGUUGCCAGGGAUUUAAUUUCUACAUUCCAAAAUUAAAUACUAAAGUAAAAUGUAAUUUACGGUAGUUUUAUUUACAAUAGAGGGAAGAUAUUAAGGAAUGAGAGAGAGAGAGAGAGAGAGAAAACUCUGUCUUCCUCUGAGCCAGGUAGAAAUUCUAAGGUACUAAUUAGGGAAAAGAGUCUCAAGACAAUGGGCCUUUCUCAGAGAUUUAUACCUCCAGAAAAGGCAGGGUCAUUAAGUCAGCCUUUCACUCACCAGCAGUGACCAUCUAAAAGGAAAACAGUCUGAGGUCUCCUGCACAAGCUCCUCCAGGAGUCCAGUUCCACAACCAAGUUUGAGUAUUCAUAUUCCAGUCUCUCCUCAAGUGGCUGUCUUCCCUUCAGCUCUGAGUGACUGAUCCUUCACUCCAAGCCCAGGUGACUGACUGUCCAGUCCAACUCCAAGUCAGAGUUCUUUCUAACUCAAAUCGAAUAUUAUCUUUCCUGUGGUCCUCUAUUUAAAGGUAUUUUUCUCUUUGGUCACCUUCCCUAAAUUUCACAUCUACCAAUAACAGUAGACACUCCUCUCCAGGACUGCCCACUCAUUCACUUGGGUCACAGACCACCCACUCAAUGCAUGAAAUGGGUGUUCACACCUUUUUGUGGUUAGUUAUACCUUUUGUGGUUAGUUAACACCUUUUUUUGGUUAGUUCACAUUUUGUAGUUAGUUAACACCUUUUUGUAGUUAAAAUGGGUAGAUCUACUUCAAAUAAUGAGUUAACACUUUUGUAGAUUAAAAUGUGUAGAUCUAUUUCAAAUACUGAGUUACCACCUUUUGGGGAUUAAAAUCUAAAAAUAGAUUGUGGAUUACAAUUCAAUCUUCCCAAUAAAGGAAGAGCUAAGUACUUUCAUUGUUACAAUCAGGAGACAGCUAAAUCCAAUCUUCACACAAGUAGGUGAAAAUCUAUAGAGAAACAUGAUAGUAUUAUGUUAUUAUUGUGCAUUCUAUCAGACUAUAUGUGUUAAUAUUACUAUCAUGCUAUAUGAAUUAUGAACCAUGUUUUGUUUUUCACAGUAUCAUACCAUAUUUUUAUUAUUGUAAUUGUACUAUAUGUGUAUUACCCAGUGUUGUCAAGUUGCAUGUGAUGGUGAUUUUGAGUAUGUUACUUCCCCUCUCUAGGUCUUUGUUGAGGAUUAUACAAGAUAAUCUCAAAAGUCUCUUCUAGUUCUAUACUCUGAUUCUAUGACUAAUAUCAUAGCCAAUUAAUACCUUGGGAAUGCUUCAGGCUGGGAGUAAAUCAACCAACAGCCAUCUUGGGAGUGACAUUUUAUACAUCUAUAGGUUUUUGGUCUGGAAUUAUACUGAGUCAUCCAUCCUGGGUUUGGAAUUCCUGAUUUUGAAUGCUAAUCAUCAAAAUAAUAAUGCUCAACUAGCUUAAUAAAUUAACCAGGCAAUAACAUUUAUAGAUUUUUAUUAGUGACUAUUUGCCUCAAUUAAUUAACAGAUAGGACUAAUGAUAUCAAAGUCAUAGGCUUGAUUACAAUUGAGACUCAAAUCCUUAAACACUAUUGAAGUAAAAAAUGACUCACAUAGUGGGAAACAAGAUUUUUACAUGGACUGGAAGGAGAUGAGGAUUCUUAGUCUAGUGAAACUAAGACUUAGGGAGGGCCAGUUUUAGCAGUAUUUAAAGGAAGGGCUACCAUUUCAAAGAGGCUUUUAACUUAUUUUUCUGGAUUUCAGAGUGCAGAACUAGGAGGAAUGGGGAGAGAUAGAAGAGGCAGAUAUAAACUACAUGUUAGGAGAGACUUCUUUAAGAACUGAGUUAUAUAAUAGAAGAAUGGGAUGCUUUAACAAGUCAUAGUUCUCUUUUCCCAAAACUCUUCCAGUCAAAGGCUUGACCACUUGGAUAUGUAGAGAGGGCUCAUGUUCAAAUUUUCUCACUGGUAUAAUGAAGGAUUUGGACUAGAUGACAUCUAACAUUUUAUCUAUCUAUCAAAAUACUGCUUAAUCCUACUUUCUCUUGUGGCCCACUGUCCUCCAAAAAAUACUAUUUUAUUUUUAUUGUGAUUGUGAUUGUUGCUGAAUUAUGUCUGACUUUGUGAUUCUAUUUGGUAUUUUCUUGAUAAAGAUACUGGAGUGGUUUGCCUUUUCCUUUUCCAGCUCAUUUUGCAAAUAAGGAAACCAGGUUAAAUAGAGUUAAGUGACUUGCCCAGGGUCACACAGCUAGGAAGUAUCUGAGGCCAGAUUUGAACUUAGGACCUCUUGUCUCUAGGCCUGACUCUCAAUCCUCUGAACUACCUAGCUCCUCCCAGGUGUAUGUUUAUUAAAAGAAGAAGGCUAUCUGGUGUGAAUAAUAUGUAAGAGCAAUCUUCUUGCAUUAUUUUCACUGCAAUUUUAUUUUUGAAUUGGAAGAGUACCUGUAGGGUCAUAACUUUAGUCCUGGAAGGAUCCUCAGAGAUUAUCUAGUUCAACUGCAUUUUAGAGAAGAUAAAAAUGAGACCUGGAAGGAUUAGAUGACUUGGUAAAGGUUACAUAGGCAAGUAGAUAUCAGACACAGAAUUUGAACUUGGGUCCUCUCAUUCCAGAGUCAAUAAUUUUUUCCACUGUGCCAUUAUUUGUUGCUAUGUUCAGACCUUGUUAUUCCUGAUCUAAGAACCACUCUUAUUCUGUUUGCAUUAUAUAUGCUUUAGAAGUCAGACUAAACAAUGGCAGAUGUGUUUUGUUUAUUGCAUUUCUUACUACCUACAGAUCACAGCUUCAGAAGUGAGGGUGGUGUGACUUCUUUUGUUGACAAUGGAUGUGGCUAGUUUCUUAGUGACAUUUUUUAAUCUUAGUUUUUGCAAUUUAUCUAUCUAUAUAUCUAUCCAUUUGAUCCUUUACUAAGGUCUUAUCCCAAGGCCUCAUUUUGGAAUAGAAAUAACCCUGGGUUUCAUAAAGCUAUACUGUUGGUACACAACUCUGGGAAGUUCUACUAAAUUAGAAAGGUUUUGAGUACAGGCCUUGCUAAAGGAAGACCAUUAUAGAGGUCUUCAUCCUCUUCAUCAAGGAGGACUAUCACUUGAAUGCUAACCAUUUGAGGAAAAAAAUUUUUGGCCAUAACAAAGAAGCUGACAAUUUUGUGCAACUCUGCCUCCCUUAAUCCAAUUCAUGUGCAAGCCAAGGCAUCACUCCUUGGUAUCAGUGGUCCUCUUUGAAAAGAAGGCAAAUAGCAACUGUUAUUGAUUGAAAUUUGAGAAGUAUCUUUAUCAGUAGACUAUUUACACUAAUAAAAUGAUCCUUCCUUUCUUUCCUUCUUUCCUCUUUCCUGUGAUAAUAUGAGUGAAUUGUUCUUCUAAGUUGCAAGUUCUUUCCUACUUCCUUCCUUCCUUCCUUCCUUCCUUCCUUCCUUCCUUCCUUCCUUCCUUCCUUCCUUCCUUCCUUCCUUCCUUCCUUCCUUCCUUCCUUCCUUCCUCCCUUCCUCCCUUCCUCCCUCCCUCCCUCUUUCCUCCUUCCUUCCUUUCCUCUUUCCUUACUUCCUUCCCUCUUUCCUUCCAAUCCAAAUCAGUGGUAUAAAUAUUGACCUCUGGGGACAGAAAAGAUCACUAUAACCAGGAACUGAGCUAAGCAAAAUAAUUUCUCUUAGAAUUUCUAGUUAUUAACCUGAAUGCAGCUUUCCUAAUAUGGCAUUUCAGAAACUCUGGCUGCUUCCAUUUUCCAGGUAAUAAUGUCUCCUAUCUAUUAUAGCACUUUCAUAGUCACACAGGUAAUAUCAUCUCCAUAUUGCCAAGUCAUGGAAAGGCUAAAUGGUUUGUCUAAGCAUUCAUACAUUGCAGUAAGCCUCAAAACUAGGAUUAAAAAACAGGUCUACUUCUAAAUAUGAUUUGUUUUCUACUUUUAUUCCAAUAGUUAGAUGAUUAUUGGAUUGCAGCUUUAAUUAAAAAAGAGCCAACUAACUGCUGGACUUCUUUUAUCUCCAGAUGCCGGAGUCCAACCCUCCCUUUCACAGCAGUAAUAGUGAACAACCUACCCCAGUAAGAAGUCAGCAGCCAGGAAGUAGAACAGGAUUCAGCUCUGGGUCCUCCCAAUCACUAGGGAAAUCAAAAUCACAGCUAGAGCCAAGUACUGGAAGGCAAAUGGGAACACAGAAUCCACCUUCUCUCUGGGACUUGAGAGUUGAGUAAACUUGUGGUCUGAACAAAACCCAUAGCACCAGACCAAAUUCUAUAUCCUCUUGCAUUGUUUCCCAUUGACACAAGCCUUCUCAUCACACUGUGGCUGAUUCACUGCAAAGAGUUUCAUAACUCGACUUGGAAAAGUAUGUGUAAUCUGGGCAGUCUGGAGAUGGAGGGAUGUUUUAAAAAGGCGGUUAUUGGCUCCUUUUUAAAUGAGAGCAGCAACCCAAUAACUAUCUUAUUAUCAGAGUUAGAUUGUAACAAAAUUUAAAUUUACCUAAAACCAUUGAGGCAGCAUGACAAAACAGUUCUUAACCUGGGACCUUUGAAAUAUUAAAAAAAAAACCCCAUAGUUUGAUAACUGUAUUUCAAUAUAAGUGGUUUAUUUUGUAAUUCUACUUUUUAAAAACAUUACCUGAUAAGUAGUCUAUAAGCAUCACUGGACAACCGUAGCACAAAAAGGUUAAGAAACCCUGUCCUUAAAGGUAGCAGAGUGGAUAAAGCACCAGGCCUGGAGUCAGGAGGACUAGAAUUCAAAUCUGACCUCACACACUUUCUAGCUGUAUGACCUUUGACAAGCACUUAACUAUGUGGGCCCUCAGGAUUUGCUUUAAUUAAUUAAAUUACUGAUCUGUAUUGAGGGAAUUCCCCACAAUCAUGAAAUUGUAGGUAUAGAUCCCCUCCACACCAAAAAAAGCUUCAUACUCUAUCACAAAUACCCGUCAGAAACUUGUGAAAAAUAAUUGAUAAUUUUAUCUAAAGCUUAGUUAAACAAAUGGAAAACAUCUCCCAAAGUAGAACAUUGGUCUACAUACCUUGAAAUACUCCUGAGACUGUAAGUAUCCCCCAAGGAGGAAAUCAUUAAAAAAUUAGAUUAGUUAAAGAAAAAACCCAACAAAAAUAGUUUCCUAUUCAUCAAAAGGGGGAGAGAAUGAUACAGUAUGCUCUUCUUUUAAAGGUUCUCUUGUUGCAAUAUGUGUAAAAAUUUGAAAAUUCUAUUCAACCUAAUGUAUUCUAUAUAACAGACAAAUAGAAAAUCCUAAAACACACAAAUGACCAUUAUUUGCCUACUUGAAAAUCAUCAGUGGUUCCCUAUUUCUUCUUGGAUAAAAUUUAGAAUUCUUAACUUGACAUUUAAAGCUUUGAACAUUAUGGCUUUCAACCACCUUCCUGGCCAUAUUUUGUAUUACUUUUCAGGCAGUUAACAUUCUAGACAAACUACCUGCUAAGCUGUUCUUUGUACAAUAUAUUUGUCAACUUAGAAAAACACCAGAACCACUAACAUAUUCAUAAAACCAAAUCUUUAAUCAGUAAAUGAGACAGGUCCUUAACAUUUGGCUGCCACACAGAGCCCAGCACUAAAUACCACACAGAGUCGAAACUCUGGAGCUCUGGGGACAGUGUCUCAGAGAGAAUCACCACCAAAGAUGAUUCUCCAAAGAAUAAUAGAACUUGGGGACUUAUAUACUUUUGGGGGAAUAUAGUACAGCAAACAUACACUGACUGGUACCAGAAAGAGGUUUUAGUUAGAGGUUAGGGGAUCAGGGGGUGACCUAAAUUGCAAAUAAGAUAAACAAAGUCUCCAAGCCAUAGAGAAAUAGGUUUAUUGGGAGAUGGCCAGUCUCACAACAAAGCCAGACUUCUGGUCAAGACCAAAAGACCCAGAACUUUGUGAGAGGAUGUCUUUUAUGUCCAAAGAAUCUUUGGUAGAAGAAGUCACUUGAUGAUGACUUGAAAGUCACUUGAUAGACUAGGGGGAUUGGGGGAACUUGAACCCUACUUUCUAAGCCUGAUGAUGCCAAUGAUGAUGUACACUUAGAUGACCAGGAUAAGGAGGAGGUACCAGACUCCCAAGCAGGUUAAAAGCCUGAUGAUGUAUACUAGGGUGUAUAAGGUUUCUAACUGAGGCAAAAGCCUCUAUGCUAAUGAAGACCAAGUCACAAGUUCAGGACCAUGAUUGCUGAGGGUGCACCAUACAGUAAAUUAAAGGCUGAGGCUAAAACUGAGGCUUAUGCGUAACAAUGAUUAAUUAUGCUAAAGCAAUUCUUUACUUUGGUUCAAAACCUUAAAGACUUAUACUAAAAUAAUCACAAAAGGCCUACUAAAAUCAUUACUUAUGCUAACAUUAUUUAACUAUCUUAGAAUUGCAGUAAUGAUUAACUCAAUACUACUGAUAACAUUAAAAUCUAAUCCUCAUUUAUACCCCUUAUGGCGGUAGGGGAUUUUUCACUCACAAAUUUACAAUAGAUACAAAAAGAUGGUUCUGCACAGGUGUUGACCUUUUUGGGAAUAGAUCUCUGUUACAAUGGAGGAAGCUUCUAAGACAAAAAGGAUGACUGAAAAUUUGCACAUUUCUCACUCCUAUCCAGGACCCUUAAUGGAUGCUUGGUUAUCCAUUGUUCAGUCUAAUAAAAGUCAGUUUGGGACUUCCCCUAAAGGCAAAUUCCCAAGAGACAGGGCAAACUUGGAGUUUCCAGAAUUUAAGUUGACACAUUCCAUCUUCUGUGUUCUUGGCUUUGCAUAGCCAUUCAAAAUAUCUGGAAUGUCUUCCCUCCUUCUCUAUUUAUUGUUCAAUCUUUUUUUUUUUUUUUUGGUCUCUUUAUGUCUCCAUUUGGAGUUUUCUUGGCAGAGAUACUGGAAUAGUUUGCCACUCAGAAGGAGAAGCCAGCUCAUUUUACACUUGAGGAAACUGAGGCAAGCAGGGUUAAAUGACUCAUCCAGGUUGAUUGGUUGCUGUCCUUCAUACUCAAAGAAGAGCAAAAUGACAUCACUGGUGACAUCUUUUGAAUCACAGUCACUCAGCUUGUCUGAGGCCAUAUUUGAAGUCAUGAAGAUGAGUCUUCCUGACUCCAGGCUCAGCUCUCUAUCCCCUGUGACACUUAGCUACUUUCUCCUUCUCCACUUUAGGUCCUUAACAUUUCUAACUUCUUUCAAAGCCUGACUUAUUUGAUAUCUCCUGAAAGAUGAAUUUCUUGAUCUCUCUGUACUGAAGUUAUUUUGCACAUACUUUUAAUUUACUUAUUUUUUCCCUCUCCAUCCCCCCCCCCUCAACUGUAGAAUGUAAUCUCUUUGAAGGAAAGGACCAUUUCAUUGUUAUCUUUCCAUUGUAAGUUCUUAGGACAACUGCCUUGUAUACAGUAGACCAUUAGAUAUGUAUAUUGAACUGAAUUUAAUAGAGAAUGAUGAAGUAGUGCUCUUGUAAUGGGUAGGGGGUGGGGAGAGAAGGCAGGGUAUGGAGUUCUAUUAUUAUUUUCCUUGUAAGAAGGAAAUGCCAGAACUUUUUGCAGAUAUAUUUUUAUUUUAGUUGGCAAAUCAGUCAUGAGACAAAGAAUAACUGAUAUAGACUGGAAGAGAAAAGGACUUUUAACUUGGGUCAUAAACAGUUGGAUUCUCAGAAACAAGGAUCUUUUCAAUUAAUUCUAUAGAGCAUAUUUCUUUCUGGCAUUUGCUUAGAGGAAGGUUUGUCUCAGGUUAUAUGCGAAUAUGCAUGUAUUAAAGCUCCAUUGUAUUAUUUCCCUUCAGUGAAGCCUUGAUAUUGUUGGUGUGACCUUUGGCAAAGCAAAGCCUUAUUUGAUGAGAUUCUUGUCUAUGUAUUUCCAUAAGUCUUCUCUGAGCUCUCUAGGUUUCCACUAUUCAAAAUAUGCCAUUCUACCACUUGGGCCAUCCAUAAAUUGCCUGUCAUCCUUCAUGACCAGUACACUUUCUUUUCCAUCCAUAGAUAUCUGUGUUAAUGUCUUUAAACUGAAGUCAUCAUAGUAAUAUGCUGUAAUCCAUUUAAAAUCAAUAUGCACCUUGGUUCUUUGGAGAUCAUGGUGACCAUAAACCAUAGACAAAUCAAUUGGCCAAAUUGGUAAUAGAGAAUGAACUUCAAAAAGCUAUAAAACUCUUUUUACACUUUUACCCAGCAAUAGCACUACUAGGUCUAAACACUGAAGAGAUCAAAGAAAAAAUAAAAGGAUCCAUGCAAAAAUAUUUAUAGCCACUCUUUUUAUGGUGGCAAAGAAUUAGAAAGUGAGGGGAUAUAUAUUAACUGGGGAAUAGUUGAGCUAGUUAUAGUACAUGAAUAUGAUGGAAUACUAUUACACUGUAACAAAUGAUAAAGGUCUCUUCUCAGUCUUUAUCUCCCUUUACUUCUUUGCAGUAUUUGAAACUGUUGACCACUCUUUCUUCCAGGAUAUUCUCUUCUAUCUGGGUUUUCAUAAUAUUGUUCUCUCUUGGUUCUCCUAUCUUUGACCAUUCUGUCUUAGCUUUCUUUGUUGUAUUUUCAUGCCUGUUUACACUGUGGGUCCUCUUCCCUUUUCUUAUUUGAUUCUCUCAUCAAUUCCCAUACUUUCAGUGAUCAUCUCAAUGCUAAUAAUUUCCCAAAUCUAAAUAUUCAGCAUUAAUUUCUCUCCUGAGUUCUAGUCUCUUAUCAUCCAAUACCUAUUGAACAUCUCAAACUCCACACUUACAAAAUAGAUUGCCUUAUCAAAACCUAUCCCUCUUACAAGGGCACCUUCUUCAUCCUGAUCAUGCAGGUUUGAAAAUUUUGUUACUUUCAAUUCCUCUUUCCCCAAUGCAUAUAUUUAAUCAGUUGCCAAGUUUUGUCAUGUCUACCUCCUUUCCUUUUCUCUAUUUUAAAAUUAAAUUUUACUUUUAAACCAAGAUCAACUCCCUAAUGAGAAAGUAAGGAAAACAAAACCUCUGCUACAAUCAUAUGUAGUCAAACAAAGCAAAUUCCAUUAGCCAUGCCUAAAAAAUUCUCAAUUUGCACACUGAGUCAUCACUUCUUUGUCAGGAGGUGGGUAAGAUCAUGAGUUCUCAGAAAUUGUGAUUGGUUAUUAUGUUGAUCAAGUUCCCAAGUUUUCUUUUUUCUUUUAAUAUUUUUUCAAUUAGUCUUCUCAUUUUCCCAACUUGCCUCCCCCAUUGAGAACACAAGAAAAAUAAAACUUAUUACAAAGAUACAUAGUCAAGGGAAACAAAUCUCUACAUUGACUAUGCCCUUAAAAAAAACAAAACAAAACCCUGUUUCAUUCAACAUUCUGAAUCCUUCACCUUUAUGUCAGGAGGUUGGUAGCAUGUUUAAUCAUUAGUCAUUUGCAAUCAUGGUUGGUAAUUUUGCUGACAAGAGUAGAGUAUUCUAUUACAUUUAUAUACCAUAGCUUAUUUAUCUAUUCCCCAAUUUAUGGGUACUCCCUCAGAUUCUCAUUCUUUUUACCUAAAAAAAGUUAUAAGUAUUUUUGUACAUUAUUAGAAUUUUUGUUUAGAACUAAUCUCAAUUAUCUGCCCUCCCUCUCUUCUUUCCCUCCUGUUUCUCUGUUAAGUGAAAUACAUUUGUAUACCCAACCUUGUAUGUAUAUGUAUGCAUGUGUGUAUGUUUUUCUUUUUUCUUUAGACAAGUACAGAUGAGAGUGAAGCUCAAGUGUCAGUAUCUGCAUCCUCCCCCUCCUCUUUGUGUACCUAUUUUUUCAACCAAUUACAUGUAAUAACAAAUUUCCACAUUAGUUUUCCAAGUUAUAUGAUCCAAAAUGUUUCCCUCCCUCCUUUCCUCUCCUCUCCUCUCCUAGAGCUGACAAGCAAUUCAAUCUAUGUUAUACAUGUAUUAUCAUGCAAAGAUAUUUCCACAUUGCUCAUUGUUGUAAGUGAAUAAUCUUAUAAAACCAAAACCUCAAAACAUAUACCCGAAUAAACAAGUGAAAGAUCAUAUGCUUUUAUUUGUAUUCAUAUUCCAGCAGUUAUUUUUUUUUCCUAUUUGGGCUACAGACCUAGUAGUGGUAUUACUGGAUGAAAUGGCAUGCUUUGUUUUAUAGUUCAUUGGUCAUAAUCCCAUAUUGCCUUCCAGAAUGGCUGGAUUAGUUUACAAGUCCACCAGCAAUGCAUCAGUGUCCCAAUUUUGCCAUAUCCCCUCCAAUAUUUAUAAUUUUCCUUUACUGUCAUAUUGACCAGUCUGAUAGGUGUGAGGUGGUACCUCAGAGUUGUUUUAAUUUAUAUUUCUUUAAUCAAGAGGGAUUUAGACUAUUUUUUCACAAAUAAUUAUUAGUAGUUUUCAUUUCUUCCUCUGAAAAAUGCUUAUUCAUAUCCUUUGACCAUUUGUCAAUUGGGGAAUGGUGUGUGUAUAAAUUUGCCUUAGUUCUUUAUAUAUUUGAGAAAUGAGACCUUUUUCAGAGAAAUUUGUUAUACCCCCCCCCAUUUUAUUGUUCUCCUUUUAAUCUUGGUCACAUUGAUUUUGUUUACAUAAAACUUUUAAAUUUAAUAUAAUCAAAAUUAUUCAUUUUACAACUUGCAAUAUUAUCUAUCUCUUGUUUGGUCAUAAAUUCUUCCCUUUUCCAUAGAUCUGAUAGGUAAACUAUUCUAUGUUCCCCUAAUUUACUUAUAAUAUCACCCUAUAUGUCUAAAUCACAUACCCAUUUUGACCUUAUCUUGGUAUAGGAUGUGAGAUACUGAUCCAUACCUAAUUUUUGUCAUAUUCUUUUCCAAUUUCCCAGCAGUUUUUGUCAAAUAGUGAGUUCUUAUCCUCACUGGGAUCUUUGAGUUUGUUUAUCAAACAUUAAAUUGCUGAGGUCACUUACCCCUAAUCUGUUUCAAUGAUCAUUAUUUUCCUUUUUUUCUUGGAAUAUUAAGAUAAUUUUGAAGUAUAUUGUACAUACACACAUAAUAUAUACAUAAUACUUACAUAUAAUGAAGUGCCUGGUGAAUCGAUCCCAAGGAUGAAACAAUGACCAACAAUGUAAGCACAAGAGGGAGUUUCUUAAACAAACUGCAGCUUGGGCUUAGCACUCUAAAAUGGCUUGAGCCCUGACUUCAGGGCUUGAAGGUCUUUUUAUAUACUGGAGUGAACAGGAACUUCUGUGGUUGGGGGAGUGAACAGGAAUUUGACAGGAACUUCUGGGACUGGGGUCAUUAUCAGCUCCUGGCAUAUGUCAGGAUGCAAUAACUUGCCUGGAGGGUUUCUUUGGGUGAGGGGGCAGGGAAGGGAGAAAAUAGGUUUCUGGGCUGGUCCUUCCAUAGAAAUAUAAUUUUUGUUAGAUGAAGGUUGAAAGGAUGAAGGAUGAAAUUCCUUUCUUUAGGGGGAGGGACAGAAAUUGUGGCAGUAGAUUCUUUUUUAAAAAUGUUUUAUUUAGAAUAUUUUUCCAUGGCUACACAAUUCAUGAUCCCCCUCACAUCCCCGCCCCCCCAAAGACAACAAGCAGUUCCACUGGGUUAUACAUGUAUCACUGUUCAAAACCAUUUCCAUGUUAUUCAUAAUUGUAAUAGAGUGAUUCUUUAACAACUAUAUAAUUUUCAUUAAAUUCAAGAUUAAAAAAAAAUUUUUUUGGGGGGGGGAAUAAUUUCAGGAAAAGAAACUCGCUUAUUCUCCAAAUCAAGAAAGCGAACUGUUUGGAGAAGGUGCCAUAAAGAUGCCUGCAGAAACCACACACUGCAUCAAAAGAUCCAGAAUGAACUUUGGGAUGUAGUGAAUUGAACUGAGGGGGUUUGAGUGCAUUUACUCUGAAUGUAAACUCUUAUGCCAAAGGGGAUAUACCCCUAAUUGGCUUUUUGUCAAUGUGCCUAGUAAUCACUAGUUUUGCUCUCUUUCUCUUUUAUUUCCAUCUUAUCCCCAAAUUAUUGUAAUUGCCCCUUAAAAAGUGCAAUAUUGAAUGUACCUCUUGUAAGAGAUCUUUAGAGAUAUAAACUGGUUAUAUGAAAUGAUUCAUUGGGGAGACUAGGCAUGUAAAUCAGGGAGAUUUCAAAAUGCUUGUCUCCCAAAGAAUCACAGGAGGUUAUGUGUAGAUAUAAUUCUCUCCCCAAUGUAGACUCUAAACAAUCACCCUAAUGCAAAUAUCAAUAAUAUGGAAAUGGGUCUUGGUCAAUGACACAUGUAAAAUCCAGUGAAAUUGCAUGUUGGCUAUGGGAGGGGGGUGGCAGGAGGGGAGGGAAAGAACAUGAAUCAUGUAACCAUGGGAAAAUUUUCUUAAUUAAUCAAUUAAAUAAAAUCUAAAAAUUAAAAAAAAUUAAAAAAAAAUAAUUCUCUACCCAAGGCUCAUUGAACCCAACUCAUUAAAAGGCCUGGUAGGACCAUGACUAAGAGCCAGAUGAUUGUCAGGUUAGAUUAGGCUUGAAUCUGCUAUAUCUACUUUUAUUGAUUAUUAAUACAAUUAAAAAUAAGAACCUGGAGUUAUUGAUAUUAAAUUUAAAUUUUUUACAUUUUAAAGCCCUUUGUGCAUAGUUCCAAAUUGCCCUCCUGAAUGGUUGGACCAAUUCACAACUCCACCAGCAGUGUAUUAGUGUUCCGAUUUUGCCACAUCCUCUCCAACAAUUAUUAUUUUCCUUUGUUGUCCUAUUGGCCAGUCUGCUAGGUGUGAGGUGGUACCUCAGAGUUGUUUUAAUUUGCAUUUAUUUAAUCAGGAGGGAUUUAGAAAACUUUUUCAUGUGCUUAUUGAUAGUUUUGAUUUUAUCCUGUGAAAAUUACCUAUUCAUGUCCCCUGACCAUUUGUCGUUUGGGUAAUGGUGAUCAUUGUUUUCUUAAGAUCAUUAAGAUAUAACAGAACUACUUCUGGUUUCAUCUCAUUGGAUUCCUUCUAUAAACCCUGAUGAUGAUCAAGAACAGAAGGGACACAUGUAUCAUUUCUUCAUAUUUGAAUGUAAGCAGUUUACCCCAUUUAGUCCUUUAAUCAUAGCUAAUGUAUAACUUUAUACUUCUUGUCAUUCUUGUAUUUAUACUUUGAAGUUUCUCUGUAGCUUGGCCUUUUCAUCAAGAAUGCUUGAAAGUCCUCUAUUUCAUUGAAGAUCCAUUUUCCCCUUUAGCAUUAUUUUCAGUUUUCUAGGUAAGUUAUUCUUUAAUGAAAUUUUUUGUCCUCUGCCUUCUGGUAUGUCAUAUUCCAAGUUCUCUGCUCCUUUAGAAUGGUGGCUGCUGAAUCAAGUCUGUGUUUCCAUUUUGGCUUUUGUUUCAGAAGUUGACCAGUGAAAUCUUUCAAUUUCCACUUUGCCUUCUGGUCUAAGAGAUCUGGGCAGUUUUAAGAUUUCUUGAAACUUUAGGUACUUUUUAAAGUCAUAGUGUUCAGAUAAUCCAUAAUUCUUAAAAUUCCCCCCUGAUCUGUUUUCCAGAUAAACCAUUUUUCCUGAAACAACCUUCUGUUCUGUUCUGUUCUCUCUUUUGACUUUGUCUUAAUAUUUCUUAUUUCCUCUUGGAAGUGUUGGCUUCUAUUUGGGUCAUUUACAUUUUUAGAGAAGUUGUUGCUUGGGCAAACUUUAGUAACUGGUACCAAGCUGCUAAUUAUUUUUUUUUAAUUCUCUCUUCCAUAGCUCUCAGUUUCCAUUUUUUCCCCUCAAGCACUCUUAUUCUAUUUUUGAAAAUGUUUUUUAAAAACUAUUUGAAAAACUCUUGCUUAACCUCUUCUAAGAAUUCUAGUUGAAUUUGUGCCCAAGCUGUGGCUUUCUAUGAGGAAAUGCUUGUAGAUAUUUUAGAGUCAUUCUCUUCUGUGUUUGCUUUAUGUAUCCUUUUCACCAGAACAGUUCAUUUCCCUCCCCCUUCAAUCUUCCAGUCUACUUCCUGGCUUUGGAAUUGUUUUUAGGACUGAACCCUGUAGCACCUCUAGAGAGAAGUUCUGGGCUGGUCUUAUGCCACCUUCUUAGAGUAUUGAAUAUUCUGAUAUUCCAGAUUCUCAAAGACAGGCUUUCAAAGCUCCCAAAGUAGCCUAUUCCAGGACAAAUUCUGAUUUAUGGACCUCUUCUUUGAGCUCUGCAAUUUCCUGACCUAUGUUUGAGUCUGCACAAGAGUAGAUUACUGAUGGACUCUGCCUGUAACCAGAAAGCUGAAAAGCUCUGUUGGCUCAGAACACAAAAUUGCUGCCUUCCUUUGGGUGUGAGAUUUUCAUCUUGGUUAUUUCUAUGCAAUCUGGGCCAGAUAUUGGAAAUGAGCUCCUACUUACACAUGAGACAUAUCAUAGCUACUGUUGGUGACUUCUGAACUUCUUGGUACACCACCUCCUUAUCCUGGAAUACCACUGCCAUGAACAGGUCCCUUCUCACUCUGUCUUGCUCAGGACCUGGUUAGUAGGUGACAAAGCUGAGAGUUGGUACCUGUCCUCAUUUCUGAGCCCUGUAUGGAUUUGGUGGUGCCCUGGUGUCAGUCUGAGACUGCCUCUUGCCCUGGUAUACAACCUCUUUAUUAGUGCUUGAAUACUCCUUGAAUAACUUGCUCCUGGCUUUAUCUCCCUAUUUUCUUAUGUGAAUCUGGGCUGAACAUAGGUUUCAUUAUGGCUUUUUCUGGAUUCUCCCCUCAGCAUUUGGUCAGAUAAAUUUUCUGGAAUAACAAGGAGGAGUUUGUAGAGAAGAGCUUAUUGUAUUACUUUCUAUCACUCCACCAUCUUGGUUCUUCCUCCUUCUUUCUAUUAUGACUGCCCUAGUUCAGGGUCUCAUUACCUUAUACAGAUUAUUGUAAUAGCCUUCUAAUUGGUUUUCCUAUUUGAGGGCUCUUCAGGCCAAUCCAUUCUCUACACAGCUGUCAAAAUUAUUAUCCUGAUAAUAAUUGAUCUGAUCACUUCACUCCACUACUCAAUAAAUUCUAAUGCUUCCCUGUUAUUUGGAGGAGCUAAUAUAAAUGCCUGUUAGGAUUUAAAGUUUUCACAGUAUGGCUCCUUCCCACCUUUUCAGUUUCCUUACACAUAUUUCUCCUCCAGAUAGUCUAUGAACUAGUCAUAGUGAUCUUAUUAUACCUUACACACAAUAUUUCAUCUCUUGCUUUUUCUCUGUCUACUCUCCAGCUCUCCCUUUUUAACUCUGUUUUUUAGAAUCUCUGGCUUCCUCAGUUCAAAUUUCACUUUAUAUUUGUUUUUCUUGGUUACAAAAACACUCCCACCCUUCAACCCAGGUUAGUGCCUCCUCCUAUAAGAUUAACUUCCAUUGAUUUCAUCUGUAUCUUGUAUGCAUUGAUUUAUAUUCAUGUUGUUUUCUCCAUUAGGAUGUAAGCUUCUUGAGGGCAAAGAUUAUUUUGCUUUUUUAUUUGUAUUUACAGUGCUUAGAAUAGUGCUUGUUAUUUAGCAAGUACUUAAUAGAUUCUUUUUUAUUGAUUGUGAACAACUUUGUGAGUCUUAGAGACUGCUCUAUAGAAAGUACUUCAUACAAUUACUACAAUACUUCCUGGAGGUAAAGAUGACCACCAGGAAGAAGAAGAGUAGAGUCCAAUCCCUGGUCAGACUUGCUAGAAGAAAUGAAGUUUGAGGGAAAUAGUACAAAGUUGAGUCAAAGGUAAUUUUACCUUUUGUGUUUUAAUCUUUUCUUUUGUGUGUUAGAAAUAAAUAGCUUUCCUAUGCCUGAUUUAUAUUUUGCACCAAAUUCUUUUCCUAGUCUUCUUUUUUGGAGCAAUAUGAACAAAAUUUAAACUUUCAGUGAUUCUACCUGCGUGGAAUGAGAAUUUAGUGUGUUAUUCUCACAUUAUUAAUAGUUAUUAAUAUCUAGAGGUUGGAGUCCCCCUGUCUCCUAUUCUUACAAAAGCUUUAUAGCUUUAGGUGAGCUUGUCUGGGAAUUGCCUCAGGCAGGAGUCCCAGGCUGAUGGUCUUAGAUCCUGAAGUACUCAUGACCAAAUCAUAAGUACCAAUAUUGAGUAUCCUUUUGUCUUAGAAGACUAUCCUAUUGUAUCUCUGUAUUUGAAGCUUCUAACAGGAGGUCAAGCCUAGUGGCUUGAAUGAUCCCCUCAUCAGCAACUCCUAGGUAAUCCAGGCUUGAACCUCUCCACUCUUUGUAUCUGUCUCCAACUUCUUGGUCAUUUAAAAAAAAAUAUUGAUUUGUUUGAUAUAUCCAUUGUGAAGCUAUUCUCCAAUUUAUUGAAGAUGUUAAUUAGCUUGAAUGUGUUCAUUAUAAAGCCAAUGUAAAACUAUUCAACACUCUCUCCAACUAGUGUAAAAUGUUAUAAUUUCUUCUGGGAGACUUGAUUACAUCAAGAUUCUCCUAUAAGUAAGGGGUUUUUUUUCUGUGAAAUUUUGGGCUUUUGUCUAGGGUCAAUAACUUGAGGCAGUGCUUGUAUUUUUCCUAUAACCCCUUGGGGACAUCUGUCUUGGGUCCAUGACUUGAGAUAGUGCCCACCCCCAUCCUUCUCUCUCAAUAAAGCCUUAUAUUUUAAAUGAUUGCUUUCCAUGGUCAUAUUUAUUUUUAAUAAGUGGUAAAAGAGGGUGAACUUUGAAAUUUCCAAGGUCUCCUCAAUUUCCACCCCACACAUACCCAAUGCUCCAGUCAAGCUUUAAGAGCUAGAGAAACCAAGAACAAAGAAAUCCACUUGAUCCACUCUUUAGGGGCCAGGAUCCCCCAGUAUUAAGCCUGGUAUACAUGUAUGAGUCCAGAGCUGUGGCUGAGAGAGAAUAUUCUAGUCCUUCUUGACCCAGCAGACUUUCUAAACUGUUACAUUAGCUUCUUGAGGAGCUUUUCCAUCACAUAUAGUAGCUGCCCAAUAAACAUUUGUUGAAUGAAUGGGAGAUAAGAUUUUGAUUUAAGUUCAUUUAAUAUUACUAAAAUGAAAAUUCUUAAGUUUAAUGGAGUCUUUAAAACAUAUUACAUUUCUCUCAAAGCCAAAGAAGCAGAAUUUUAGAAUUUGAAGUAACUUUAGAGGUCAUCUGCUCUCAAAUUCCCUCUCAAUAUUGCUGCUGCCUAGCUAGGUUUCUUUGGAGAGGCUACUUAACCUCCUCGGGCCCCAUUUGUGAAAUGAGGGAGUUAGAACAGCUUUCAUCCAGGGUUUUUUCAACUUAAACAUUCUCUGAUUUAUUUAUUAUAUAGAAACAUCAGCAAAGCAUUCUGGAUUUGUCUGUAGGGUUCUGUGGGUUGAGUUGCCACAUCAAGUAACCACAUUGAUAAAACUGGCUCAAAGUUAAUAUGGGUAUGGAGCUUAGAUCAGUUCCACUGUGGUACAUUUUUUAUGUAUGAUUUUGAUUGCCAGUUUUGAUUCCAAGUCUUAGCUUCAAGGAAGUCAUUGGGUGGGUGGUUAGGUUUGGUGUGGAGUUCAUCUAUAUAAAGAAUUUAUGGAAACUCCCUCUAUCUAUGCAUAUUUGCAACUCAUCUGUAACUUAGAGCCUUGGAGAAUUGUCUGGGACACUAAAAGCAUAAGUGACUUAUAUAUAGUCACACAGACAGUAUAUGAUAAAGGUGGGUCUUGAACCCAAAUCUUCCUGACCCCAAGGACAGCCAUCCACGAUGUCAUUUUAUGAGAUAUCAUUUAAUUAAAAACCAGACAGAAAACUCUAUGUGAGUAUUCCUUAAUGAAAUGAGUCUCUCAUUUGAUGACUUAUGUUGAUUUUGGUAAUGACUGUCUGAGAACAUUAGCAUGCUUGUCAGAAAUUAGAAUGUGUAGAUGACUGUAAUCCAUUUUACACCCACAUCUGUUAAUUUAUAUUAUCAUUAAUCCUCAGAAUAUCAGUAAUAAUUUAGGAAGGAAGAGUAAAAGUGAAGUCAUUGAGCCAGAGGCUGCCUUCCUACUCUAAUUAGAACUUAAUCCAAUAUUCCUUUUGUAGUUACUUUACAAACACAAAGAACAUGGAAUUCGACCCAUAAAUAUCAUAUAUUGAAAAAUGCUUUAUGACAGAUUUCAUGGCAGGAUAACCAGAGUAUUGCAUUUUCUUGGGAGAGGAAAGCUUGCUAGCUUUGGAACAGAUUUUUACUACCCUGACAGAAGAAAAGCCCAAAUGCAAAGCAGUGACAUUCAAAAAUCAGGACUCUAAGUGAGCUCAAGAUUUAUUCAGUGCCUGUCACAGGAAUAUGGUGUCAUAUUAGUACCCCAGGAGCCAUGUCAGCUAUAAAGUUGUUCAGUUUUUCCAUUUGUGUCUAACUCUUAUAAUCCAAUUUGGGAUUUUCUUGGCAAAGAUACUGUAAAGGUUUGCCAUUUCCUUCUCCAGUUCAUUUUAUAGAUGAGGAAAUGGAGGCAAACAGGGUUAAGUGACUUGUCUAGGGUCAUACAACUAGUAAUUGUUUGAAGCCUGAUUAUGAACUUAGGUCUGACAUUCUAUCCAUUAUACCAUACAAUUGCCACCUAUAAAGAGGAAGGAGCAAAAGUAAAGAUCCUGGGAGAAUUUCUUUAUUUUUGGUGCCAACUCAUUCUGAAACAACAGGAUACACUUUAAGGUUUAAUCCAUGUUAUUAACAUUUUUCUCAAUUACUUUCUUAAAAUCCAAGCAAUCAUAAGUCAAAGCCUGAUGUGCAUAUAGCAUUUGUUGAAAAUUUAACAAUUGGCUCAGGCUGGGUAGGAGCUGGCUACGGUUUCCUUUAUGUGAUUACAAAGUUAAUUCUCUCUAUUGGUAAUACCACAGGCAUUACAUGAAUAUUUGUACUUCUUGUAGGGAAAGAGCCUACACCCAGUCUGUUGUUGGGUGAGGAUAAUCAGAAGACUGUGAAGUUCCCCAGUCUGAAAUGAGCAAAUCAAAUAGACUACUGGAACAAAAAGACUAUGACUCAGAGAAAGUCUAGUUCUAGUCUCCUAACCUGAUACUUCUUAUCCUUUUGUCUGCAAGGGCUGGUAAUGACUUUUUCUUUGCUAAUCCUUUUACCUGUAGAUAAAAGUAGAAUCUUAGACUACUAUAUCAGACAAAAAACAUGAAUAAAUAAUUGAAGAUGUAUUAAAUACUUGCUAUGUUCCAAGCACAUAGUUUAAAAUGCCGGGGGUACAAAGAGCAAAAGUAACCAAAAAACCCAAGACAGAUUGUUUGUCAAGGCACUCACACUAUAGCUGGGGGAGAUAUCAUAAAAUGUAGGAGAAUAGGCUCAGAAAUUUUAAUGGUUUAGCCAUAGAUUAGAUGUUUAUGCCUAGGAGUCUUUAUAUUACACCAGCUGGUAAGAUGACAGUAGAACCUAGGGUCUGGAAAGCAUAGCAACAGGGAAAAUCAAAAGGCGUAGGUGAUUUUUUGGACAUAGUAAAAAGGUAAAUGGUAAGGUCUAUACCAGUGAUGGCAAACCUAUGGUGCAGGUGCCAAAGAUGGCACUUGGAGAACUCUCUGUGGUUACACUGCUGCCCUUCCCCCACAGAUUUGGUUACUAAAAAGACAGAGAGAUUAUUCCUCUCCACUGCCUCUCUGCCUUAGCAGACCAAUAGGAGUGCACAGGUAGGUAAGGUGGGCAGCUCAUAGGUGGCAGAGCUGGAGGGGGCAGAGAGUUUGGGCUACUCCCCUCCCUUUCUCUACACUCACUGAGGACAUUCCUUACUUCAUCCUCUCCUCUGCCCAGCAACCCAAUGGGAGUGCUUACUCCCUCACUUGUGCAGAGUGGGGAUGGGGCACACUUAGCACUUGUUGGGGGGAAGGGCAUGACAUCUGGCUCUUGGGGUUGCAGGUACUGCACUCUGUCUGAGGGGUGGGGUGGAAGUGGGGCCCAGCACUCCAUCUCUAAAAGGUUUGCCAUCUCUGUUCUAUACCAUCUCACUGGAAAGUUUGUACUGGGGAUCUCUACUCUAAGACAGGGCAGCCUGGAGGUCAUCAAGGGGAGGAAGGAAGGGAGGAUCUGGUAUUGGUUCCUGUUAGAUGCAUGGUCAAUAUAAUGUGUUGGAGACAGCAUGAAAUAGUUUACAAGAGUGAUGUAAGCAGAAGUUGGAGGUGAUCCACCCAGAGAUUGUCUAGUUUGCCAUCUCAAUGGCUUGUUGUUCUUUGCUUCCCUUUCUCUCUUUCAUGGAUAUUGUUUAGUUUUUGUUAUUGUAUCCUCAGCACUUAGUACAGUGCCUCACAACAUAUUAGGUACUUAAUGAAUGCACAUUGAUUUGAAUUCAAAUAAGAUCAAUGAAAUGAUUGGAGUGGGAGAAGUUAUACUUUCUCUGAGUCCUUGAGUAUAGAUCCUCUGAGUCAUGCAAUUUAUUUUGAGAAAGAAGGUGGGAGAAAGGUCCUAGCAUCAGCAACAUACAGAGGCCAAUCUACAUUCUGCUUGCAUAGGUGAUUUUUACUUUCUGACAGAGGAAGUACUUUUCGACUUGUCUCUGAAAUGUUUUCCUAUAAGCGAAGAACUGUCCUAUGCUGGGAGAAAGAGAGAAACAAAGCUUCUCUGGAAUAAAACUCAUAAGUCUUAUAGUUUUUCAGUGAUAUGGGGAAGAUUUAGACAACUGUAUAAUUAAUGCAAAUAGAUGAAUCUUUCAUAUGGUUCCUUUUUUAAGAAGAGUUGUGGGGAAGGGACUGGAGCUUGGAUUUCAUUGUAAAGGAAGCUUUUAAUGAGGAAUUUCCUCUACCAAUGUAGAUUAGGAUCUGCAACCUAUACUUUUGGAAUAUUGCCUGGGGCAGCAAGAAAUUAAGUGACUUAUUCAUAUAAAAAGUAUGUAGCAGAGGCAGGUUUUCCUGACCCCCAAACCAACUCUUCAUUCACUCUACCAAGCUGCCUCCAAUGGUUCGUUGUGUAAUAGGGGACUGGUCAGUGAGCCCAAAAUCCAGGUAUGAACAGAGUGCCACAGAUACAAAUACACAGCUGGAGAGUCUGCUUCUGGGAGAGUCAUGUUGACUUAUUAUAGAAAGGUUUUGGUCAGGAAGCAUGCGUAGACAUUUUGUAAUGAUAGAUAACAGCCUCUUUGAUUAAAACAUUAAUUGGCUUCAACCUGAUCCUUGGAGAGAAAGACACCAGAGAAAGACACCUAUACCUCUAGAAACCCAAGGGGAAGAUGUAGCUAGCCUUGCUCUGGAAAAGUAAGCCCAGGGCAUUUGGGCUUUACUUUUACUUUUACUUUUACUAAAUUUGAGAACCAUUAGUUCUUAUCCUUUGACCAAUUUUCCAAUGGGGAAUGACUAUUUUAAUUUCUUUACUUUAUUUUUUGGAUUUGAGAUGCUUAUCAGUGUUAUUUCAUUCAGAGAUUUUUGUUGUUGCAAUUGGCAACUUCUCUUCUUAUAAUAGUUACCUUGAUUUUGUUAUUGCAAAAUCUUUUCAAAUUCAUAUAAUGAAAAUUGUCUGUCCUAUCUUUUAUAAUGACCUCAAUCCCUUUUUGAUUAUGAAUUCUCCCCCUAGGUAUGUCUGUGAAUAGUAUCUCAUUUGCUGUGAACUUCAGUUUGGGUUGCAUAUCCAUUUUGAGUUUAUUGUGGAUUCAGUAUGUGUUGAUCUAAACAUAAUUUUUGUUAUGCUAUGUUCCAGUUUUCUCAGCAAUUCUUAUAAAAUAUAGAAUUAUUACCCAAGAAAUUUAUGUUCUCAGGUUUGUUGAACACAAGGAUAUUAAGUUUACUCAUUUCUGAUUCUUUUAUCUGCUCUAUUCCCUGAUCUAUUCCCUAUUUUUUUAAAGCCAGUAUCAAAUAAUUGUGAUGAUUACUACUUUAUGCUAUAAUUUUAAGUCUGGUUCAUUUACUCUUUAGAAGCGCAAUAUUUAUUGUUUACUGACUAAAAAUAUUAAUUUCAAAUGUCUACUUCCUAGCCCUGAUUUUUCCUUAGCUCUAGAUUUAUAUUUUAAUUAUCCUUUAGAUGUCUUAGUUUGAACAUAUCAAUAAUGUUCCAAUUUUUACAUGUCUCAAAUUAAACUCAUAAUUUCCCCCAUUUUUUGCUCAAAACCCUUUCCUCCGCAUGACCCUUUUAAGAGAACCAACAUACUCCCAACUACUAAAAUCUUAAAAUCAUCUUUGCCUUUUCUCUAUCACACAUUUUUUUGGGGUAGUCUAAAACUUUUUUAUUACUGGUUAACAACUUGACUAAAAAUAAAUUUUUAAAGGAAACAAAAGAAAAUUUCCUAUGGGUGUCAUUGGUUAGCCUAAUGAGGGACAAUGGGAGGAGGAAGUAAAGGGAUUGGUUGGCACCAAGGAAGGUCACUUUUUCUUUAGAGAAUAGAAGAGUAGAGAAAGUUAUAAUUUUACCAUUAUGGUUCACUCAUUUGUCAGCUCUCAUUGUCUUGCUCUCUCAAUUUACAUGGUCAUCACUUGGUGCUACAUGUAAAUAGCCCCCACUAGCUUCAAUGACCUAGUUGAAGUCAUAUCACUUCUCUUAUAUUGUCAAUUGCUGAGUUGAAGUUGUGUCACAUAUCUGUUCUUGAACAAGUUUGCAAUUGCUUUCCUUUGUCUUCCUCCUCUUUCUGCCCAGGAGCCUGCUCUACAAAAUCAGGAACAAGAUCACAGGAAGUUGAACGAUUCUGGGUGAAUCUCCCAAUCAGCAAAGAAAUUUCUUACCUUUUCCUUGUUAGGUAGAGGGUUUAUAUCAGGAAUGAACAUUACCCUCUUAGACUAUUUUUUCUUUUCUAUCUUUUUUGUUUUUAUGAACUUGAUAAAUAUAACAUUUUACUUUACAUAGAAUAGAAUACAAGGGCUGCAAAAUGAAACUGUCUCCAUUUCAAAUAGCAUGAGGAUUUUUUGUUGUUAUAUUUCAACUUUAAUUUGAUAGUUACAGCACUAGCAUGCUUUUCUGCAACUACAUCUGAUCUUCUGUCUACUCUUCUACAGAUUUAGAAAAAAAAUCACUGAUGCUUUUUUCUUUUCUACCAUUUUUAGUAUUGCUAUUAUUAUUCUCAAUUUCUUCCUCUAAUUCUCCCUAUCCUUUCCAAAAACAAAAUUUCUUCCCAUAUAUGUCUCAUUUGUUCCUCUUGUUUUUUGCGAGAAGGUGGGAAGCAUGAUUCAUCAUCAGUUGUCUGUAGAUUUUUAUUGCAUUUAUCAUAAUUCUUGAGUUUUUAUAGUUGUAAUCCUUUAUAAUGCUUUAGUCAUUACAUUAUAAUCCAAACUGGGUUUAGGAAGGGCAUUCUCGUGGCAUAUGCAACCUUUGGAAUGUGAUUCUGGAAUGAUCAUUCUUGAUGCAACCCUGCAGGACUAGAUGAGGGGCAAAACCCUGUUUAAAAAGCUUUGGAGAAUGGAGGAAUUUUCCAUUCUGCUUUGAGAGAGGAUAUGCAGGCUUUCAGACUCUGUUGGGGACUGAUUCAAGACAUAUGAGGAAAUGGAGAGAAACUUUGGAGGGCAGAUAUGUGGGCAAAGACAUCUCAACAUGUCCCUUAUUUUCAGCUUGCUUUACUAAGAAACUUCAGGAAAUUUCCCUUUCAGUGAAAUUGAGACAACUUCAUUAAGCCAUGAUUUCAUCUCACUCCCAUUUGAAGAAUUCAUCCCCAUGUCUUUUCUAGUACAACUGAAACUUCUGAAAUUUCUACUUGCUAUUUGCUUGAACAAAUGAGUUUAUUUGCUAUUUCUAUUAGAGAAGUCCUUUGUGAAACUCUGAUAGGAGCAAUAGCCUAAUUCUUCCAUGCAAGGUAGGCUAUUUUUUCCUUAGAAGGUACUGAGACAUUUCCUCAAACUUGGUUGGUUUAGGGGAUUAAAGGCUCAGACAGUAGAUAUCAUUUCCUUGUCACCUGAAUACAAAAUAGUCAUGAGAAGCUGAAGGAGUUUUGAGAUGCUUGAUUGGUGAAUCUCAAUAGGACCUUUGCUAAGUUAAAUCAACUGGAAAGGCCCUCAAUACUCAUAAUUUUUUAAAUAUCCUCCUCCAGCUAGGACUAAGUAAGUUUUCCUUUUGUUAUUCUUUGUUUUUUUGAAAAAAUUUAUUUAAUUAGUCAAUUUAGAACUUUAUUCCUUGGUUUACAAGAAUUCUAUUCUUUCCCUCCCUCCCCUCCCCACAAUCCUUCCCAAAAUGGAUACAUAAUUCCACUGGGUAUUACAUGUGUCCUUGUUCAAAACCUAUUUUCCUGUUGUUGAUGUUUGCACUAGGAUGUUCAUUUAGAGUCUAUAUCCCCAAUCAUAUCCCCAUCAACCCAUGUGAUCAAGCAGUUGUUUUCCUUCUGUGUUUCUACUCCCACAAUUUUUCCUCUGAAUGUGGAUAGUGUUCUUUCUCAUAGAUUCCUCUGAGUUGUUCAGGAUCACUGGAUUGCCACUAAUGGAGAAGUCCAUUACAUUCAAUUGUACCACCAUGUAUCAGUCUCUGUGUACAAUGUUCUCCUGGUUCUGCUCCUUUCACUCUGCAUCACUUCCUUGAGGUCAUUCCAGUUCCCAUGGAAUUCCUCCAGCUUAUUAUUCCUUUGAGCACAAUAGUAUUCCAUCACCAACAUAUACACAAUUUGUUUAGCCAUUCCUCAAUUGAAGGGCAUCCCCACAUUUUCCAAUUUUUUGUCACCACAAAGAGCUCAACUAUGAAUAUUCUUAUAUUAUUUUUCCUUAUUAUCUCUUAGGGGUACAAACCCAGCAGUGCUAUGGCUGGAUCAAAGUGUCCUUUUUUUUAGUGUCCUUUGGGCAUAGUUUGAAAUUGCCAUCCAGAAUGGUUGGAUCAGAUGAUGGUGGCCUAGAAGGAGCAGAAGUUCAGAACUCUGAAUACCUGUCCUUACCAAUCACAAACUGAAUGCUCCUAGGGGACUGAAAAUCAAACCUAAGAACAAGACAGAGCCAAGGAAUCCUCCUGCUGGACAUAGUUCAAAAGGUACACCCCCCCCCCCCCAAGCCAGAAUCCGAAAACACUUGGGUUUGAGGGGAAGGUGGAAGGAAGGUCCCAGGACCCCUCCCCCCACCCUCCUAGAGUGCUGAGACUUCAGUGGCAGCAGGAACUUCUGGGUGUACAAAGGUGCUGGUCUGGAGGGUGUACCUUGUGGGCAGGGCAGUGCCAAGCUCAGAGUGUCAAACCCAAACAGCAGGGAAGGAGCCGAAGAGGGAACAUAGAGCUGGCAGCCUGGCCAGAGCUGUGGCGAUCCUCCAUAUUUGCUCCAGCCUUAUAGGAGGUGUUGGCCUCAGAGCACACCCAGCCCAACCAAGCUGAACUUAAUCCCAUCAAAAGUCUUCAGAACUCAGGGUAGUCCAGGCUCCACACCCCUCCCUCAUUGCCAGCUGGACUUUAAUCCAAACAAAAGCCUCCAGAGGACAGGGAAGCUCAAACCCCCAACAACCCUCCCCCAAAUACUGCACUGAGAGAUCUUCUGUCAAAUCUCCAAGAGGGGAGACUGACAGAAGCCCCCAAAACAAAAAAAAAAACAAGAGGAGCAAGAGCACAGACAAAUACAGGGAGAAAAGAAGGGAUGGAUAUGAGCAAACAACAGAAAAAGAAGAAAGAAAUUACAAUAGAGAGCUUCUAUACAGAGAAUGGAACAGAGGGGGAGGGAUCAGCAAACGACAAAUCAGAAAUCCCAGUGAAUUAGAUACAGGCUUUAGAAGAACUCAAAAUGCAAUUCAAAACUCAAUUAAGAGAGGCUGAAGACAACUUUAACAGCAAAAUAAGUCAUCUGGAAACAGAAAACAGUGUCUUGAAAGCCAAAAUUAAUCAGCUUGAAAAUGAGGCAAAGGAGAUGAAAGAUGAGGCAAAGAAGAUGAAAUAUGAGGUAAAGAGGAUGAAAGAUGACCUCCAUAGAAAAUCAGACCAGAAAGAGAAGGAUGACCAAAAAGCCAGGGAUGAAAUCCAGAUUUUAAGAACCAGAAUACAACAACUAUAAUUAAGUGAUCUAACAAGGCAGCAGGACACUAUAAAAGAAAAUGAAAAGAAUGAAAAAAUUGAGGAAAAUAUGAAGCAUCUCAUUCACAAAACUGAGGAUUUAGAAAAUCAUUUGAAGUGAGACAAUUUAAGAAUCAUUGAUCUACCAGAAGACCAUGACAAAAGAAAAAGCCUGGACACAAUAAUAUAGGAAGUUGUUCAAGAAAACAGCCCCAAUAUUCUAGAACAAGAAGGAAAAGUGGAGACUGAAAGAAUCCACAGAUCACCUCCUAUACUUAAUCCCCAACUGAAAACACCCAGGAAUGUUAUAGCCAAACUCAAGAAAUAUCAGACCAAAUAAAAGAUAUUACAAGCUGCUAAGAAGAAGUCAUUCAGAUACCAUGGAACCACACUAAGGAUAACACAGGAUCUGGCUGCAUACACACUGAAGGACCAAAAGGCAUGGAAUAUGAUAUUCCAGAAAGCAAGGGAACUAGGUCUACCACCAAGAAUCAACUACCCAGCAAAACUGACUAUAUUCUUACAGGGGAAAGUAUGGUUAUUCAACAAAAUAGAAGAAUUCCAAGAAUUUGCAAAGAAAAGACCAGACCUGAAUAGAAAAUUUGAUGUCCAAGCACAGAACUCAAGAGAAUCAUCAAAAGGCAAUUUAAAAAGAGGGAAAAAAGAAAAACAAAACAAAACAAAUUUUUUUUUUUGUAAGAGACUCAUAAGUUAAAAUGUUGUGUAUCCUUAUAAGAAAAGAGGUCAUUGGUAACUCUAAAAAACUGUUGUUAUCAUCUGGGCAGCUAGAAGAAUUACACUUAGAGGGAACAGUUACAAACUGUAUAGGAUGAAAGGACAAGACAUAAAUAGGUAUAUAUAUAUAUGCAUGCAUAAAUACAUAUACAUGUGUG